rnacentral:rRNA from 1 species
AUUGAACGCUGGCGGCAGGCCUAACACAUGCAAGUCGAACGAGUGGCGGACGGGUGAGUAAUGUCUGGGAAACUGCCUGAUGGAGGGGGAUAACUACUGGAAACGGUAGCUAAUACCGCAUACCAUCAGAUGUGCCCAGGUGGGAGUAGCUUGGUGGUGGGGUAACGGCUCACCCAGGCGACGAUCCCUAGCUGGUCUGCGAGGAUGACCAGCCACACUGGAACUGAGACACGGUCCUGACUCCUACGGGAGGCAGCAGUGGGAAAUAUUGCCCAAUGGGCGCAAGCCUGAUGCAGCCAUGCCGCGUAUAUGAAGAAGUCCUGCGGGUUGUAAAGUACUUUCAGCGGGGAGGCGUUACCCGCAGAAGAAGCACCGGCUAACUCCGUGCCAGCAGCCGCGGUAAUAC